AAUGCCCCAGCCCUCAAUUGUCAGUUCCUUUUCUAGCAACACGGCUGAGGACUCACAGGAAGCAAGUGGGUGAAAGUGGAUCUAUUAUGACCAUGUACCUUUGGAGAAAAGAAUUACAGAGUCAAGAUACAGAAGACUUAUGUUGGCACCUACUGACACUCCAGGCAAGGAGUAUAUAAUCUUGGCAAGAGCCUACAGCAGGCAUGAGCUGGAUCAGUAGUGCAGAUGCAAGAGAAGAGUAUGUGUGAGUGGCAACAGCUACACUGGAUUUUGUAGACUCCAUACUAAAGCUGAACUCUGAACAAAGUUCCCCUUCAGAAGGAAACGCACAUGCUCCUGAACACGCUACAGCUUUUUAAACUGAGCCCAUAAAGGAAGAUGAGUCACUGACCUCAUCUAGUGUGGGAGGAGAGCAAGCCAUGGAACAGAGCAAGCCCUAGGAGGGCUUUUCAUGAAAAUUGGCUUCUAUGGAACCUUACUUUAAUAUCAGAAGACAAUCAGACACCAGGACUUUGCUGUUACUACAUCAGCAAGUUAUAGCCCCAAAAGGAGAGAAAACCACAGUAGAGGAGAAGAUGGCAAUCAUCCUUUCACACUUCACCUUUGCCCCAAGCAGAGACUUCUCCUCCCAACCCAGCCUACCCAUUC